rnacentral:rRNA from 1 species
UACGUAGGGGGCUAGCGUUGUCCGGAUUUAUUGGGCGUAAAGAGCGUGUAGGCGGCCAUGUAGGUCCGGUGUGAAAACUCGAGGCUUAACCUCGAGAUGUCAUCGGAAACCAUUUGGCUAGAGUCCGGAAGAGGAGAGUGGAAUUCCUGGUGUAGCGGUGAAAUGCGUAGAUAUCAGGAGGAACACCGGUGGCGAAGGCGGAUCUCUGGGCCAUUACUGACGCUGAGGAGCGAAAGCGUGGGGAGCAAACAGG